rnacentral:rRNA from 1 species
CUACGGGAUGCAGCAGUGGGGAAUAUUGCACAAUGGGCGCAAGCCUGAUGCAGCCAUGCCGCGUGUAUGAAGAAGGCCUUCGGGUUGUAAAGUACUUUCAGCGGGGAGGAAGGGAGUAAAGUUAAUACCUUUGCUCAUUGACGUUACCCGCAGAAGAAGCACCGGCUAACUCCGUGCCAGCAGCCGCGGUAAUACGGAGGGUGCAAGCGUUAAUCGUAAUUACUGGGCGUAAAGCGCACGCAGGCGGGUUGUUAAGUCAGAUGUGAAAUCCCCGGGCUCAACCUGGGAACUGCAUCUGAUACUGGCAAGCUUGAGUCUCGUAGAGGGGGGUAGAAUUCCAGGUGUAGCGGUGAAAUGCGUAGAGAUCUGGAGGAAUACCGGUGGCGAAGGCGGCCCCCUGGACGAAGACUGACGCUCAGGUGCGAAAGCGUGGGGAGCAAACAGGAUUAGAUACCCUCGUAGUC